rnacentral:rRNA from 1 species
UAAAGUGGCGACCGGGUGAGUAACACGUGACCAACCUACCUUUCAGUGGGGGAUAACCUCGGGAAACCGGGACUAAUACCGCAUAACAUCUUUGAGUUGAGAUACUCGAAAAUCAAAGGAGCAAUUCGCUGAAAGAGGGGGUCGCGGCCGAUUAGCUAGUUGGCGGGGUAAUGGCCCACCAAGGCGAUGAUCGGUAGCCGGCCUGAGAGGGCGCACGGCCACACUGGAACUGAAACACGGUCCAG